UCUGCUGGAAUUGAUAUUCCCGGAAUUGGUCCAGACAAGUUAAUCUCCUACCUUUAGACUUCCAGCAAAUACUCCGUAGUACAUACGAGAGAAUGCUGGGUUCUGAAUCAUUAAUUGAGUUGCAAGUGCAUCAAGUUGUUUUGCUUGUUCUUUUGCAUACCAGAAUCCGCUACCAAUACCAGGUGUUGCAGAAGUUCUAACUUCUUGUAGAUAUUGGUAAACGCGUUGAUAUGCGUCAUAAAACUGUUGAGUUUCUUUAUAGAUAGGCGAAUCUUGGAAAGCAGGUUCUUUUAAUGCUUUACCAAUACUUGCUAUCUUUUCCUGUGCUGAACCAAUCUUAGUGUCUAACACCGGGGCAGCACCACCAAAUUGAUCAUUAAGUGCAAUUAUCUGUUUAGUGUACCAAACAUCGCUAUAACCAAGUGAUGACUGUUGUUCAGAUAUCUGUGACUUAGCCAUUUGAUAUACAAGGUUUUCAGCAUCACGAUAAUGGAGGGUGCAAGCGUUGCUCGGAAUUACUGGGCGUAAAGCGUGCGCAGGCGGUCAGUCAGGUCGGGCGUGAAAUCCCUGGGCUCAACCCAGGAACAGCGCUCGAAACCGGCCGACUAGAAUGCGGGAGAGGAGAGUGGAAUUCCUGGUGUAGAGGUGAAAUUCGUAGAUAUCAGGAGGAACACCAGUGGCGAAGGCGGCUUCCUGGCCCUAUACUGACGUUCAGGCGCGAAAGCGUGGGUAGCAAACAGGAUUAGAUACCCUGGUAGUCCACGCCGUAAACGAUGAGUGCUAGAUGUUGGAGGUAUUCACUCCUUCGGUAUCGAAGCUAACGCGUUAAGCACUCCGCCUGGGGAGUACGGCCGCAAGGUUGAAACUCAAAGGAAUUGACGGGGGCCCGCACAAGCGGUGGAGUAUGUGGUUUAAUUCGACGCAACGCGCAGAACCUUACCCAGCCUUGACAUCCUCGGAACCUGGUGGAAACAUCGGGGUGCCUUCGCAAGAAGGAGCCGGGAGACAGGUGCUGCAUGGCUGUCGUCAGCUCGUGUCGUGAGAUGUUCGGUUAAGUCCGGCAACGAGCGCAACCCCUGUUAUCAGUUGCGACCACGUUAUGGUGAGCACUCUGAUGAGACUGCCGGCGUCAAGCCGGAGGAAGGUGGGGAUGACGUCAAGUCCUCAUGGCCUUUAUGGUUGGGGCUACACACGUACUACAAUGGCAUGCACAAAGGGUUGCGAAACCGUGAGGUGAAGCUAAUCUCAAAAAUCAUGCCUCAGUUCGGAUUGGAGUCUGCAACUCGACUCCAUGAAGUUGGAAUCGCUAGUAAUCGUGGAUCAGCAUGCCACGGUGAAUACGUUCCCGGGCCUUGUACACACCGCCCGUCACACCACGAAAGUUGGAUGGACCACUCUAUCGUGACUGGGAAACAGAUCGGAAGAGCACACGUCUGAACUCCAGUCACC
rnacentral:rRNA from 1 species